AUUGGAGGAGAAAAAUACUUCCUGUGUUAUACCUUCUCCUCCCCCUCUACCCCUAGGCUAGCUGUGUUUCAGCUAUUCGUACAAAACUCAGAUAUGUGUUAUGGGUGGAACAGUUAGAAUAUAUAAUUAGAUGAAAUAAAACCCUGGUAUUGAGGGGUUGUAUAAGGCAACCAUGUCCAGUUUCCAGAUUUUAAGGUCUCUAAAAUUAUUUUCUUGUUGCUUUCCUCCUCCCUUUUGAGGGAGAACUUUAGCUAGCCCCAGUGUCUUCAGGUUUCUUUGGUUUUUACUAUAAGCUGUUGCUGUGGACCUCUGGUUGUUUAGUGUUGACUUUUGGAGAAGGAACAUCUUGAACCCGUUAACAUUUGUGCCUUAGACCAUUCUUUCCAUACUCAUAACCGGGGGCAGGGAGGGAGCGUGGUUGUUUGACCGUGGCUCUGACCUUGGGGAGUGGAGUUGAGUGGAUACUGUUUGACCACAGUUAAACUGUACUGUUGAGGAAGUGACAGACGUUCUUACCAGGAGAGUUUUCUGUCCCCUCUGAGACACCAUCUGCCUUCACCCAUCCGCAGUUUGGGGACACUGGCUGCUCAUUUUCUUGGAUAGUUGAAAUAUUGUAUAAAUGCUUCAGAACAAAAGCCCUCAACUUCUGCUCCCUAUUCUGUUUAAUAGACAUGCAAAGCCACCCUCUGAAAUGCCUUUGGGUGGCAAUUCAGAUUCCUAUUGUGAUUAACAGGAGACAGAUUUGGAUGUUCUCCCCCCUUUGAAUCCUUUUGAAAGGAAAGAUCCAGCAGUAUUUUAAAUAACACUCAUAGCUUGUCCUUCUCAGGUUAGAAGUGGGUGAAGAUUGAAGUCUGAGUCUGUUUUGACAGGCAGCCUGCUCUCAGAUCUUACAAGUUGACUCAACUGUUAAAUUGCAGAUUUCCCACACAUCUUUGUGUAAAAACUUAAUAAUAGAGGAAGAAAGGCAGGAUGAGGCAUUCAGAGACUGACAGCAGUGUCAACAGCACUUCCAUAUCCAAAUACCGGCUAAGACAUAAUUACAGCUGUGGUGGUGGUGGUGGGGAUCUGGUUCAAAGAAUGCUGCUCCAGAGACACACACCAAAGAGACUUCCAGAUCGUGAAUCUUGAUUAACUUAACCGUAGGCGCUGAGUAGUGAAAUGAUUUUCAAAACCAGGAGUGUUUUGAUUAUUACGCAAGGAAGAUGUGACAGGACGGAUGGCCCCACUGGGAAGGUGCCUGAAGAAAAAGAGAGGAGACCUCUGCUCUACACAGGGUGUUGGGCCAUUCCUGGCGAUUUAGGGCAGAGAGCUGCACGGCCGCAGCAGGGCCUCUGAUGGGGGUUCUGAUAUCUGUUAUCUCACAGCUCCCAAUGCUGAUGGGAGGUGGUGGCUGCCCAGAUGUCCUGCUCCCUGUCUGUGGUCUGGUGACCUCUGAGUCCUCUUAAGUGAAAUCAGUGCUUAAAAAGAUAGUCCCAGCUCACCCUGCUGCUUCUCUGCCUCCACCUGAGAGGUCUAACAUUUAAAUGCUUUUUGGUGGGUGCUGUGACCUCACCUCACCAUCUCUCCUGGCUGCUUUUGCUAAGUUCUGAGUCAUAGUCAUACUUCAGUUCAGAGUCAGAAGGGACUUCAGAGGUCAUCUCAUCUAACCCCCUCAUUUUGCAGAUGAGAAAACCAAGGCCCAGAGCAAAGACUUGCUUGAGGUAAUGUCACCAUGAGAGAGGUGGCAGAGCCAGGACUGGAACCCAGGACGCCUGACUCUCGGUCUCAGGCCUCUUCCCACUUGGUAACUGCACUGACGUCAGCAGGCACGGACCCCAGACGGGGUGCCGCACCAGAGCACCUCAAGCCCGAGCAGCCAUCCUCAGUGCGGGCCCUCCGUGACUGUCGGCCCGGGGGUGCUGGCUGGGUGGGUACCUACCACCUCCCCAGCAGUGAUCCCCAGAGUUGGAGAGGCAGCUUCUCAUCCAACUUAGCAGCCCCAUGAGUUUUGAAUCUGCAGUAACAAGCUUUUUUACCACCCCUCCCUUUAAAAAAUGUUUGCUAGAAAUCUUAUUUAUUAUUAUUUUUGUGCAAGAACAUGAGAAUUCUGUUCACUGUUUCUUCAGUAGGGAUGCCUAGCCUCAACCCACUUGUGCAGUGAUUGGUUGUAUUCCCUGUGGGGUUCCUCAGCUGCUUCCUCCUUCGUUGUGUCAUGGUGACUGUUAGGUAUUAGCUGAACAAAUUUAAUUAAAGCCAGCACUGUUGUCCCUCUCUGCUGUGUGACUCUGAUUAGGUGAAGCGUGUUAUUGCUUUACAAAAUAUAGAAUGUUGUCAUAACUUAUCACUGUUUGUCUUUCCGUUGUAUGGAUUAGAGCAAAGUCCUGUUCCUUCUCCUUGCCUUUCCCCAGCAGUCCUCCCUCCCCAGGCGACGUAGUGUCACUGCCAUGGGGCUUCCUAGCUGUUCUGAAGGGGAGCUGAUCAGAACCUCUCGUGGUUGGUCUGGACAUGUCAGAGGGCGACCCAGAGCUCCCACAUCCCCCCAGCGCAGGCAGCAUCCUCCCCAGCAUGCCUCAUGCUGUGUACCUGUCAGGGAGCAAGAGGGCUUGGCUAGGUGAGGGGCAGUGUCCCACAUUGGGGUUUGCUGCACAGACUCACAAGAUGAGGAAAGGUUCACUGACCACACUAGCCUCUUUUAUAUCCACUGUGGUUACUGGUAGUUAACAGUUCACUGAGCAUCCUACGAUAUGCUUUGUUGUAUGGAGAAUACAGACAUUAAAAGUGGCCUUAAGAUUUUGCAGGUCAAGAAGCUGAUUUGGAGAAGGUGAAAUUAACAAAUGUAAUCUAGGGCUGCACUGUCCAGUGUGGUAGCCAACACCCGUGCAUAGCUAUUUAAAUUACAAUUAGCCAAAAUUGAUUAAUUAAAUUAAGCUAAGUUAAAUUAAAAAACCAGUUGCUAGCCACAUGUCAGGUGUUCAGUAGCUACGUGUGGCUAAUGGCCACUGGAUUGAACAGCAGAAGUUCUUUUGGACUUGGCUGGUCUAGGGGUUAAAUUCUGUGCUUGGGGAUAGAGGAGGUUUGAAGGAGGGAAAUCUGUGAGGACCGAAGGAGCCCCUGAGGAAUGAGCGCAUCCGCGGGAGGUGAUGGUGAUGCUGCCCCUGGGGAGAGCUGAAGGGAGGGCGCGGAUCAGGUUGGUGAGCAGCAAGUGGGGCUGGUGGCUCAGAACUGAGCCUAACCCAGCUUUGUGUUAGAAGCAGGUUUUAAAGUGUUUGAGAAGCAUGAGGUAAACUAACAGGAUGUUUGUUACAAGGAAAGGUUACGAAUCUCUGAGGUUGGGCUUGUGGUUUUUUGAGGGAAGGUCUAGUUUUUGGGACCCUGCCCCUCGCUUUGGGCCCUGGCCCUGGCCCUGUCUACUGCAGCAGGCUCUUGGCAGCCACUGAGGCAGGAUCAAAGCUGGGUCGGCUCAUGGUUCUUUUUCCCUUGUGAAUUCUGGGCUUUGAUAGAGCUUGAAAAUAAUCUCCAGUUAAGAAUGUGGGAUCAGUGGCUGACAGAAGAGGGGAGAAAAGCGGCCCCAGGCCUCAGGCCCAGAUAUUGGUGGGUGUCUGGGAAAUGAAGGGGCUCCUUUGUGGAAGAUGAAGGUAUUGGUAUUCGUGAUUAAGAUGUUUUGACCUCUUGGAAUCUGAGGAUUUGGGCCAUCAUCAGUUGAUGAUUUUACUUAAGAAGCAGGUGCAGGAGAUUCAGAGAGCGGCCUGGAGGAGCCAAGCUUCAGGACUGCUGGAGGCAAACUUAAUCCCUGGCCACAUCCUGGGGAUCGGGGAAGGCCCCCCUCCUCCAUCCCCUCCAGAGCCCAGGAGUGUGUGGGGUCUGUGCCAGGAGGAAUGUCAGCCCUGGCCGGGAAGGACAGGGCAUUGGCAUGUGAGUCCUUUCACGAUUCCCAAGUGGCCCUCCUGUGCUCUGAUGCAGGAUUCUCCCUGGUGGAUUGAUGUUGGUGAUACAGGAUUCACACUUUCCUGUCUCCCUCCUCUGCUUCAGGCCUUCCCAAGGGUCAUGUGGGGUCUCCUCCUCCCUGUGCUGCCCCUUUCCAGGUGCUUCAGUGUCCUGGACAGAAGUGGGUGGGCAGGGCAGAGCUGCUCUUUGUGUUUGAAGAGACCGCAGCUGCUCUUGGUAGUAAUAAUUUAAGGCCCGGUGGUAAAGGGGCCCACACCUCAAGGCUUCUUAGAGCUCACAGCACUUCCUGAUCAUCUUUCUUGACUCCUUCCAUCUCACCGAGGAGGAGGCUGGGCUAGUCCAAAAAGGUCCAGCGGCACAUCCAAGGUCUGACCUGGUUCAGCAUCAGAGCCGUGUCUUGGGACCUGGUUCCCUGGGACUUCCUCUUGCUCUGGGUUCCUUUGGUUUUUUGGUUGCUAGAGGCAGGAGUACUUGAAUUGUAGACCUGGCUGUGUAACACUGAUCUCCACUAACUGGUCACUGGGAUCUUUCUACCUUAUAAACGGGGACAUUGGUAAAGAGAAGGAGCCACACCACUGAGCAGCUUGAUGUACACCAGGUAUGCAACCAAAUUCAGAUUCUGUACCUUUCCCAGUCUUUAGGGGAACCUGAUAUUUUGUACUUUAAGAUAUUGUAUGCCUGUGAAUAUUUAGGGAUGAACCUGUUACCGUGGGUAAUGUGCUAGAUUAGAAAGGAAGAAAAAAGAUCUAGGCUUGGUGCCCUGCUAAGUAGUUGUGUGACCUUGAAUAGGUCAUUAAAGUUUCCAGGCCUCAGUGCACACCUCAGAGGGUCAGGCUAGCAGUGGCUCCUUGGACGCGGCAGCAUGGAUAGUGGAGGGCUGUGCUGGAGGCAGGAGGCUGAGGGCAGGCUGGAUAGUGCUGACUUGCCCCACGCUUGACCGUCGGCAGCACCUGGGCCAGCGAGGAUGCCCUUUAGACAGGCUUACUCUUGGGCUCCGGGGCAGCCUCUGUCCAGGUAAUUAGCAAUCAUCACUGACCAGCUGCUCCUUCUCUUGUGUGAAGACUUGGUAAGUGUUCCCGCUAGUGCCUCGGCAGAGAGGAUGGGCUGUGUAACUCCGUGAAGUGUGCAUCCAUUCUUUCCCUGAAAUCAGAAGACUCAGUGUAGUGGUGGCUCAGCAUAGAGAUGGUGAUUCUUUAUUUUCCCCAUCUGAAACCCCUUCCCUUUUUUUUUUUUUUUAAGUGAAAGCAAAUUUAUUUAGAGAUAUACAUUCCAUAGACAGAAUUCAAUCCAUCUCUGGAUGGAGAGCGGCCUGAAGUUCCUUCCCAUUUGAAGUUGUGCGGCCAGACACGGCCGCUGUGCUUGGCUGUGGAGGCUGCGUGGGCUUGCACAGGGGCACCUGGCAGAGGGUGGGAGUGAGUGUGGCUGGGUCCUUCCAAAUGGGUGCCUUCUUCUGAUUCACUUGAAGUUCUAGUAUGGACUUGGGGCUGUUCUGAGGUAAGGGUUGGGGACUGAUCCUCAGAGCUGAUGGGGAAGUGAAGAUACGUCCAGGUAGCACUUCUUACCUGAAGGACUGGGUACGAAGGGAAUGAAGAAGCAAGAGGAGAGGGAGAUGCCUGGUGAUGUUUGUUCUCUUUUCUCUUCUUCCUGCCCAUUCACGGCUAAAGCAGUGGUUUCAGUCCUGGAGCUUUGUCCUGAGGUCCUGAGUGCCAGGCAGAAGAUUUGGUUGGAGGAAGAAGAGACACAGUGGAAAGGGGGAUAGAGUUGUGCUCAGCCUCUGGCAGUGUAGAGUUCUUGGGGUCUUUAUUCUCUGAUCCAGUAAACACCUCUGUGUGCCAUCUGGCAAGUGGUAGAAGCUGGGAUGUGGCUUCAAGGUCAACCUUUAUCUGCAACUGAUGUUCCCUUCUGAGACCAGCCAAGCUGUGUGUUUAUUCCGCUAGGAAUCUGAGCUGUCCACAUGGGUCAGAUGAUGAAAGGGCAUCUUACUCUUGAGGGAUGUUUCCCUGCAUCUCCAUGGCCGGUGUCCAUCCAGGACUCUUCCCGGGAGGUGAAGAAGUAUGACUAAAGGCAGAAGCCACAGGACCUCCAUUGGCAGCCUUUUCUAUCUCUGAGGAGACAGAGGAACAAAGGAUCCUGAGCUGUACUGUCGAGGUCUUCUCUGUUUGGCUCGUCUCCGUGAUGGUUCUUCUUUUGAAUUUGAAGCAGAGGUGAAGUCUCUCCAGUCCCAGGUGGUGGUGGGCGGGGGGCCUAAGAGGAGGCUGCCUGAUGAUCCCUGGCAGGUGACUGAAUUGACCACGUUGCUGCCAUUUUGAUUAUUCGUAUUAUUACGAGGCUCCCAGUCCACACUGGACAUUUGUGACCUGGCCUCCCGCCCAGGGCCCAGAGCUGUCAUUCAGCCCCUCUGUCCCAACAGCUAAAAAUAAAUGUGCCACUGCUGCAGUCUCCCCUCACAGCCCGGCCCUGACGUCUGCCCAGGUCUUCCUGCCGCACUGCUGCGCUUUCUCUCAGUACGCACUUGCACCCCCUCCCCAUGCAACCCCCCCCUUCCAGCCUGAGCUCUGUGGGUGGUUUGGGGCCAACUCGCUUUUCUGAGUGCUGAGAGUGAGCUGUGACUGCUGCUUCUCCAGGCGGCACGGCUUAUGUACGGAGGCUUCCUCCGUGGAGCUGGGGAAGGAUUAAUUAGCCGGGCAGGAGGGUGAGUUAGACUUUUUGUGAUGCUUGCCUCCAGCUCUGGCUCCUCCAGGCUCCACCUGCCGCAGGCCUCCCCAGCAGGAGGUGUGUGGGGAUGAGUAGGAGAGCCCCGCGUGAGGCUGUCCCAGGCCCUCACCCCAGCUGCCCUGCCCCGGAGCGUGCCACCUGCCCCAGGACUCCUGCCCUGUUGCUAAGCUAUACUCUCCACCUCCGCAGAGUGGGGCUUCAGGUUACCGCAUUCACAUGUGUGACCUCAUCUCAUUGGCUUCCAAGAAUAACUAGACCCUGGCUCUUGGGGCCUCCUUCAGAAGUGGGUCUGUGGCCCCUCUGGCCCUCCCAGCUCAGCCACCUGCAGGAUGUCACAGAAAGCCUGGGUCUCUGCUACCUCCUGACUGUGGUGGGCAGGGGUAUUGGUCAUCUCUGUCCCUUGAGGUCCACUGAAAUGGCCUCUUCUCUGUUGCCCACGGGCCCUGGAGCGCUCACCAUAGGACAAGGUGAGGAAGGGGGCUCAGGUGGCUGGGGUACCUGCUUCACUGAUAGAUACUGAGCAGGGGGUUUCCUUCAGUUUGACUUUGGCAUUCUCUUCUCUCUGAUUUUUCUAAUCCUUGGACAGGCAUUGGUACUAACCAUGGCAUAGGUGGGCUCCAUGUCUGUUUUCUGGGAUUAGGGUUUAUUUGGGAGAAGGGGUGUGUUGGAGAGAGUGAUGGGAGCUGAAGUAGGACUUAGGGGACCCUCUGCCUUCAGCUAGAGUUACAUUCCCAGACCAUGUCUCCAUGACUGCCUGCUCCUGUCUGUCCCCCGGGGCCUCAUUUCCUCUGCAGGGAGAGAUUUAUCUGCCAGGGCCCAUUGGCCCCUGGAGGGGAGGAGUUGGGUGUAAAUUGCUAAGAGUUUAUUUUUAACUCUGAUAGGAGGAGCCACUGUCCUUGGAGUAGCGUGCCCUCCCUGUUCUCUGCCUAUCCCGGGUCUCCUUGCCCAGCUUCUGUAAUUCCUAGAGGAAGGCUAGUAGGAAGGCCAGCUUUACAGGAGCCUUAGGUGAGGGAAGCCUUUCUGAGUGAAGAAUCUGCAGAUUGCUCCUCAUGCCUGAUUUCUGCUGGGUUCAAAGGGUGGGAGAUGGGACCGGAGGAGGAGGGGGAGCCCUGGGGGUCUGAGGCCAUGCGUGUGGAGCUGAGCAUCCUAGGAAUGCAGGUGGACUGGUGAGGAGACCAGCAUGCUGCUUGUUGUGCUGGCCGGGGUAGCAAGGUCACCUUGCAUCUUUCCUGCUCCUCUCCGUGCAGAUGCCCGGAUCUGUGGACAGCUGAAGGCCACGGCAAAUGAGUGUGUAGAGUAACCUGCCUUGUAAACUCUCACGUUUACAGAAACGGCAAGUUUUGUUAUUCCCUGGGACUGCCAGGCUCACCAGCACCAUAUCCCUUCCAUUGGAGCCUGUGUGGGAUUCCCAGGGAAUUUGUUGCCUCUGUGUCCCCUCCCCCUGGCCACGCUCCAGUCACCCAUGCUCUUAGGGAGGACGAAGACGAGUGUGCCUUCGCCUGUGUUUCAACUCCCCUGAUUUCAUGGACUUCUUUUGGUUACCUUGCUUUAGACUUUUUAAAAGAAAAUAAAACUUGAGUUUGAGGUGUAAUUAGAGAAGGAAGGAUAGAGAGUGGAGUUGGGGGCGGGAUGGGCAGUUGAACAUGUGGUCGACCCUGAGGUCCUCAGCCAUGGUAUGAAGGUCUCGCCCCCUCAGUUCCUCGGAGAGCCCUGGGGACUAGUUUGCCUAAAGCCCGACUCUUAUCCUGCAGCUUCCCAGCUGAAACCCUUGAGUGGGUUCCUUUUGUCUGCAGGAUACGGGGUAUUUAUUUCCAGAUCCUUCUCAGAUCUGAUCCCAAUCCGUUUUCUCCUAAAUGUAUGUUACAUUUCAGCUUAAGUGGCUGAUAUAUGAUGUUUCCUCAUAGGGGUGUGCUUCCAAUCCCCACACCUUCGCCCAUGGUCUGUAUCCCAUUUGUCCUGUGUCUUCUUUGCCAUCCCCACCCCUGUCUGUAUCUGUACACACUCUGCUCUCUCACGAAGCCUUUCACGCUAGAAGCGGGUCUCCUCAUCCCUCCCCUCAUACUUACCAAGACACUCUUACCUUUUAUUUCACAUUAUAAAUAUAUCUCUCCACUUGUGAAGUGGAGAUAGUGGAUUGUAAGUUCCUCGAAGACCCACAACUCCAUUAUUUUUGUAUCCUCUUAUUUCUACGUAGUGAAAAUCUGCUGUCAUAAAAAAAAUGCAUAGAGUAUUCUGACAUUGUGCAUUAUAACGAGCUGCCUCAUAAAAGCGUGGUAACUAUGUAAGUAUACGGUGUGAGCAGUGAUCCUUAGCGCUGAGCAGGGUGGCUCUGGGGGAGGGACCAUGUGAGAGUGAGCCAGGGGAAGCUGAGGGUCCCGCUAAGUGCUUCUUCCCACUCUUCCUACUGUCUGCAAAACGCCAUUCUCAGGACAGUCUCCCUGGCAUUCUUCCCUUCACCCGCUCGGAUCUGCUGACUCAAGCUGGCACCUUGUGUGCUCACGGAGUUCUCUUUCUUGUAAGGGGCCUGACCACAGUUUCCCAUUGAUGCCUCUCCUCCUCUUCCUCCCUGUUCCAGGGCCCCUCCUUUUCCUGUUGCACUGUGGAGAUGACCCUUCUGCCCCUGGGAGAACUUUAACUGGGGGAGGGACAGAUGUGAAGCCUGCCAGCUCUCCUCCAGUUCUUGGCAUUUGCUAGUCAGUCCAGACACAGCAGAGACACACAGAUGCAGUCCGAGGUGAUCUGUCUGCCGGCCUUGCUGCUGUGUUUUGCAAGCGGACCAGUGUUGAGCACCAAGUUGCGGGGACUGAGGGCUGCAUGCCAGCAGAUGGUCAUCUAGGCCAGUGUCUCCCAACCAGUUCGACUGUCAGAACCACCCGUGGGUAACGCUGGAAAAUACUGUUUCUUGGCCCCACUCUUUGUAUCUCAUUGAGUCCAGGACUGUAUAUAGAGGUGGUGUUCAGGAACGUGUGUUUUUUGUCUGAUAAUGAUCUGUGAUCUGUGUUUGGCAACCUCUUGAACCUAUUCUUAAAUUCCUCCAGUGUUGGGGGAGCUUACCCCUUUUAAGAAAACCUCACUAUUAAAAUUUCUCCUUUUUGUUUUUAAAGCUUUAUGUUUAUUGAGUCAAAAUUUGGCUCCCUGGAGUUAUACUGCCUCUUGGUGCCAGUGGUGUUUUCCAGUGCCUCACAGAACCCAUCAGUCCCAUCCUCCACACUUGGUCUCCUGCAGGUACUUGGCGAGACCUGUGGCGGGCCCCUCUGCCAGCCUGGCGUCGUGGCACAGUUGCAGAGGGCUUGACCUGCCGGGGGCCCUGGAGAGAUGCAGAGAUGGGCCGUCAUUCCCAGGAUCCUUCUGAUUGUCAGGCCUUGCUGAGAGAUUGAGGAAAGGUCCACAUCUCAUUGGACCCUGACAGUGGAGAGUCCCGAGGGUCGUCCAGCUGGUACAGGCCACGCAUACCUUCCCCCCUCUAUGUACUGCUCCAUAGGAAAGAGUCCUUGUUUCUCUGCAUGGUGAACACUUAGUUUUUGAGGCCGCUGAUCAGGUUUUCUUCAGAGGCAUUGAGAGACUCAGACAUUUGUUCCUAGUUAGAUGCGACCAAAAACAUCACUUCUGUUUAGAAACCUUCAGUAGCCUUGCCUUCCCUCAAGUGGAACUUGAACUCUUGAACAUGGCAUUGAGGCAAGCUGGCUUUGACCUUCCUUUCCUCCCCUACCCCCCCGCCCCCAACACACACACUCACCUUUCCAGGAGGGGCCUCCAUUCCACUCUGCAGUGCAUUCUUCUGCUUCCGUAUCUCCUUUUGCACCUUUCACUUGCUCAUCCUUCUGUUCCUGGUAGAAGUGUGUUUCUCCUUUGAGGCUUAGCUCUUACCUGCCCCUCACCCCCAAUUCGAGGCAGAGGGAAUCCCUCCCCUACAUGGGUGAUAGUUCACACUAGCUCUGUGACUGCUGUGAGUUCAAAUUAAUGUCAUUCCCCACCCUGCUAGACUCUGAGCCCCUCAAGGACCAGACUGUCUUCUUUGUUUGAUAUCCCCUAGUGCAGGCCCAGCGCAGGCCCCUGGCCAAGGCGCGGCGUACACGCAGAAGUGGGUUCGCUUCCUGCCUGCCUGUCUUCUUCGGGAUUCUGAUGAGGCUGCCCAAGGGGAGCUGGAGCCCCCUUUCCAGCACCAGCAUUCUUACCCCUCAGCAGCCCCAGUCCUCGUCAGCAUUGAGGAGAAAAGUGCUGUUUAGCAGCUGAUAAUUAAGCAGAACUGGUGCCUUGGCUGCCUUAGAGGCAGAACUGGCAUUUAAACAAUAAAGUUUUUAAAGUCAGGAAUUAAAAGUGUCAGCGUCAGAAGCAGCUACAUCCAAACACAAGCCCUCCCAGUUAGAGAAGAUAAGUGGAGUAGUGGAGCCAAGGAAUUCCCUGUGGCCUUGAGGAGCCCGGGGAGGGCGGCAUGGUGCUGUGCUGGCAGGAGCCGGGAAAGGGGCCUGUUUCUGCUCUCGGGGGUGGGGUCUGGGGUUUGGGGAAAUGCGGCCGGGGGUGGGGGGUGUUGCUUCACUAGAAAGGGCUGUCAGUGUUCCCUUUCACUCCCAGUUUCUAUAGAUUGAACUAGUUUUGCUAGGUGAACAAGAGGAGAAAUUUGGAAAAAUAGGGUAGGGGUAAACUCUGGGCUUCCCCUGAGGUGGUAAAGCACACGCUUUUGCAUUCAGUGAUGAGCGAAGACUACUCAGUGUGGCCUUGUGGUAGCUCAUCUUGCUUUCUUCUGAUGCUACUUGGGUUGGGAGGGGAGGCUGACAAAGGACUUCCUCCCUUCCUAGGUCAGAACCAGAGCAUGAGGAGUUCCCCAGCCUCUUGUUGGUGCCCAGAUACUAACCACAGUCUCCAUCUCCGCUGAAGGUGUUCUAAGAAAUAUGCAUGCCAGGAACAGUCCGUGGCUUCAGAACACGGGCAGAGGCUUCAAGAGGCAGAGGCUUCCUGUGUGAGGGGCGGGGCGCUGCAGCUUGUCAUCGGAGGUGGCGAGGGGUGGGGGGGACCUGCCUCUCUGCUCAGCUGCAGAGGUCAGUGGGAGACGCCUUUUCAGAGUCUGCUUUAUUGUAAAUGAAGCAGAAAGCCCACACCAGGAAACCAUAGAGGCCGCCGAAGGGGCUUUUCUCUAAGUUCACCCCUGGGUACACAACCUCUAUUUUUCCCACCCAAAAUAAGGUCCGUCUGACAAACAUUUUUUUUUUUUUUAGGGGGAGCUACUUUCAGAUCCAAGAGACAAUCGGAGCUAUCUAGUUUGAAUAUAAAAAUACUGGCCUUUCUGGGAGAUGUUGACGUUUCAUGCCAUGUACUGAGUGUCUGUCACUCCCAUGAUGGGAGGAGGGUUGGGUGAGAACCCUUGCUGGUCGGGCUUGGUUAGCCCACUAUUCCUUUCAGGUUUCUCUGUUGGAAUUAGUGGCAUUAGUGGCUGAGCUCACUCAGACCAUGUGUGAUUCAGAUGGCGGUGACCUCUCACUGACCACAGGUGUGCACGUUGACUGCAGUCACCCAGUUACCCAUACAGCCAAAUGCAGAGCAGUUGGGAAAGUCUAGGGGGAGACUUGCUAAGGGAAUAAAGCCAGCUGGCUCAUCUGGAGUUGGACCCUUGUCCUUGGUGACAUAUGCACAGAUGAGUCACAGUCAAGGUUGGCCAGAGUGUGUGCAGAGAUUCAUUCCUUUUGAUGAAGUUCUGAUGGUCCCUGCAGAAGCUUUAUCGCCAGUUGAACUGAAUUGUGAAGAUACAACAGUGCAUGGGCGCUCAUUAAUCUGUUCAUUCAUCUGUUCCCUGGAAGCGUAUUGAGGGGGAAACAUGUAAGCAAAAUAUUCCUUACAUAUUUCAAAUGGUAGAAGAGCUGUGUCCCAGGGACCGGGUGAACAUGGCGGAAAGAGCACCCCAUUUCUCCAGGCACCGGACAAUGUUGGAAUGUCUUGGUGGAAUGCCAGUCCUGAGAUCCUCUGUGAUCGGAUAAAUCUGGGACACAUUCUGCAGUACACAUUAGCAUUCUAAAGACUCUGAGAAGUUCUGUAGUGAAAGAAUCUAUUUGACAUUGUAGAACCUAGUGCUUCUGUCAUAUAUAGGGCCCCUUUUUCACCUGUCACUUAUCAACAUCCUACAGUAUUCUAUUUGAGAAAUGGCAGGAUAAUCUCCCUGCUCUGGGAGAACUGUCCAGUGAUUGAGAGAAAAAUUUCUCCUGACUCUAUGUCAACACAGGUUUGAGAGGCUUAGAAAAUAGUGUGUGCGCGUGCAUGUGUGUGUGCGAGCGUGUGCUGGGGGUGUGGCAGAGAAGGGCCCCCGGCAGGUGGCUCCCAUUGAAGUUGGCCUGUCUGCAUUCCUGCUGGCUUUGUGCUUCUGGAGAAGGCUUUUGUCCCGGCUUGAACAUACUGAAUAGCAGCUACAUCUGUCGUGCCUGGGAAGCGGCAGUGUGUGGCGUGGGGGGAACAAGCCGUGAGCAGACCCCCCUGCUUGAGGCCCAGGCUGUGGAGAGCGCCUGGCCAUCUCAGAGAGGGGAGGGGCCGGUGAUCGGGAGGCAGCAGCUCGCUGGUCCUGGAAGUGCAGGGGCGCUAGAGUCAGCCUCCUUGUCUCUGUGCCUUCCCCCUGUCCAAUGGGGAGGUAGUGUUGAACCUUGAGGUGGGAGAAGCAGGUGGGCUGGGUGUUUUCUGCCCUCCCCUCCCACCAAAGCGCAUCUGGAGGGUGGUCCAGGGAGGGAAGGCACUUGGCUCUCCAUCACCCAGGGACACUAAGAUGAAGGCACUUUGGUUUAAAUUUAAGGAAGAAUGCAGCAUUGUAGAGUGGAUUUAGUAAAGUCUGUGGAAUUUUAAAAUACAAGAGUCCUGGCUAGAAUUUGUUUUCAGACUACUGGUGAUGGGGAUGGCCGGCUCCUGAGAAAGUCCUGGGUAGCCUCACCGGCUUCCUCACAUGAAACAAACACAAGCCCAGGGAGUUCCCAAGCGCACCGUGGGCCUCUGUGCCCUCUGGGACAAGGACAUCAGUCACUGGGGAAGAGGGAAGGUUGAUGGGGAUCAGUCCCUCUUCCUGGGGAUUAUGCACUUCCUGAGCUCAGUGUCCUGAAGGCAGGCCCAGGGUUUUCUAUCUGUUUGUAUGUGAGUAUUUCUAUUUUGUAUGCUGUGUCUCCUCUUUUGAUCUUCCCAAAGGAAUGGGAGUUAGUCUGUCCUCAGGAACUAGGGUGAGCGAUCCUUUACCUCCCAGCUUCUCUGGCCAUCUCCCUGCCUUCUGCAGCCAUGGCCACAGUGGCCAGGAGGCCUGGCGUGGCUCAGAUGGGGGAGGAGCAAGCCUAGGCCGUCCGAUUGUUGCCUGUGUUAGUGGAGAAGGGCAGAUGCUGCCCGCAGUUCCCCCUGGACAGGAAGUCUGGGUGGGCCGGGCUUUGGUUUGGGAAGCAGGAGUAUUAGCUGCUGCUGCCAACUGGGGUGGUGUUUGCAGACUCCCAGGCUCCGGCAUCCCCGGAGGGACCAGCUGCCCUGACCCCCGAGGACUGGCGGCCCCCAGGGAGGGAGCACUUGCCAGGAACCUCUGAGCUUACUUGAGAGUCUGUUGGUGCUGGUCAUUGCCCAUCUGUUGUUGAGUUCAUGUGUCCACAAGAAAGUGUGCCAUUGCGUCGCCUCCUUGUCUCCUAGUGAUAAACUCAUGUGACAUUUACAGAAAUAGCUAAUCAGAAGAGGAAAUUGUACAACACUGAUGAAAUUUCAGCAAAAAAAAAAAAAAAAAGAAAGAAAGAAAAGUAAUGCUGGAAGUGAAAUUCCACAACUGAACAUAAAUUGAAUUAUAGAAUAAAUAGCUGAUUGUAGAAAUGUCGGCAUUGCCACUGUUUGAGACUUUAUGUAUGCAGCCAGAGGAACUCCGUGGAAACACUCAUUGACACAGAGAUUGUGACGCAAAGGAUGAAGAAGUCCCAGAGGAAGUGACUCUGGGGAAAACUUCACAUUGAAGCCACUCUUGGAGGUGUUUUGCAACACUGAACGCGCAGAGGAUAAAAUGUUGGAAAUGGAUCCAAAUUUUGAAAGGAGUGUGGCAAUUUGCAAAGGCGUGGAAAAGACACUUGUUCCGUAUUGUGUGAAACAACGAGAAGGCAAGCACUGUUCAGACUCCUCCGGGUGAGAUUUCACAAAGAAAUAAAAUGGUCAUUCUCGGUGUCUCUGGUAUUUUUUAGUUACAGUGUAUUAAAUAAAUAUUAGUUUUACUGUUUUUUUCAUUUCUUUAUUCAUUUAUAACUGACAGUAAAAGAUGUUUUGACAAAAAUUUAUAAAGGUCAUAGAACAAUCUUAAUUUGUCUCAUUGAUGAAUAAGAUUGUUCUGCACAGUCAUUUGUACGGUUCCACAGUACUCAGUAAAGCAAAGGCUGUCUGUGUUUACAAAAGUGUGGGUGGACACACACACACACUUACUUCUGCUUUUUCUUUUUUGUUUUUCCAAAACAUUUUACAAAAAUGGGACCAGACUAUAUGUCUCAGUCUGCAGCUUGCUUUUUUCAUGGACGAGUGUCUUUUUUGGAGGAAUUUUGAUCUUAGUAUGUCUAGAUCUCCCUCACUGUAUUUUAUAAUUGCAUAUUAUUAUUUAAUGCACCAUUAUGGAUGUACUAUAAUUUAUUUGACAAGUUUCUAUUAAUGGGCAUUUAGUUUCUCUCUCUGUUUUUUUUAAACUCAUUUAACACACUUGACCCGUAGGGGUGCUGACCCCUGUGCAGUCAGAAUCCACUUUGCAGUCGGCCCUCUGUAUCUGCAAUUCCACAUUGACCAUCCAGGAGUGCUGUCGUGCUGUAGGAUGUAUUUAUUGAAAAAAAAAAUCUGCAGAUAAGUGGACCUGUGCAGUUUAUACCCAUGUUGCUCAAGGGUCAACUGUAAUGCUAAAGGGAAUAUUUCUGACAUUAUCAUUAGCCCCAUUGAAUGGAUGAAAACAGUGGAGAUUAGAAAGUGAAGUAACUGCCCAAGGUCAGGCAGCUGCUAAGCUUAGAGCUGCCUUGAAUUUAGGGCAGUCUAAUUGCAGGGCCCUUGCUUUUAACGACAGUACUUUAUAGCUUCUCUUCGAAGUAGCUUUUAAUAACAACAAAAUCAUCAACAAAUAGUAGACUUUAUUGAGUGAGGCACAAUUCUAAGUGCAAGUACAUUAUUAUUAACUGAACAGCAGCCCUAAGGGGUAAAUACUAUUAUUAUCCCUGUAUUGCGAUGAAGGAGACUGGAGGUAGAAGGUUGGGAAAAUUUACAGAUCUCAUGAUUAGUUAAUGGAAGACCUGGGACUCGCCCAGGCAGCCGGGCUUCACAGACUUCACUCUCACUCACGGAUCUCACUUGAGAAAGUUCUCUCUCAUCGCUGUCUUUUAUAGAUGAUUUUUUUGAGCCCUAACGUGUGACUUUUUUAGGGGGUUAGUUUCAGCCCAUAUUUUCACCUAUUGUGAUCUUUUAAAAAUCUGUUGCCGAGCACACUCCCAGUUUUUUUGGUCACUUGCUGGUUUGAGGAGCUUGCGGUCUAUUAUGUCUUCAUCACGCUUGUUGGUAAGAUGCUAGGCAAAGUCAAAGAUGGCACAUUCCCUGGUUUGUCACUGGAGGGGUUCUCUGGGCUUAAUCAACAGGCAAAUAUUUAUUGAGUACGUCCAUAAUGCCAUAUAUUAGACCCAGGAUUAGGAAUCAAAAGGUGAACAAGACAGCGUCCUGAUCGUCAAAAGGCACAAGGUCUACACAGCAGGAGGAGGGCCCAUCUUGUCAAUUACACCAGUGACCGUGAAGUAGGAAUUUAACAAGAGUUGUGGGAGCAGAGAGGAAAGAGGGAUUGACUCUGCCUGGAAGUUGUCAGGGAGGCUUCACAGAGGAGGUGACAUUGCGCUGGUGCUUGAAGGAUGCACAGAAGGGAAUCCUGACAAGGCAUGGCUGGUCGGAGGACAGUGACGUUGAGUGUAGCUUGGAUAGGGAGAAUGUAUAGGGAUAAGGAAUUUGGGUUUUCUCCUGUUAGCCAAUGGACAUGUUUAAGGAAGAAAAUGUCCUGCUCAAAUUUGCCUUUUAGAGGUUGAGGCAGGAUGUUUGGGAGCAGAUUAAGUCAACUGUCUAGAAACCAGUUAGAAAGCACGUGAGCGAAAAGGGAACCAAGCAAGUGGCAGCAAGACUGGCAAAGGGAAGAUGGGUUUGUGAGGUCUUUCCAUAGGCAAAAUUGGCUUGGUUCAGUGCGUGAGGGAGGGAGACUGGAGAUGACUACGUCAAGGUCUACGUCUGGGAGCCUGGCUAGAUGGUGACGUCACUGUCAGUUGCCGAGGCUGGGCGACGGGUCAGAGGGAGCAGUGAGUUCAGUUUGGUGUGUGUUCAGCCUGCCCUCGGUCCACUACAUGACACUUCGCUAUUGGUCGCUUAUAACGAUUACAGAUACUAUCAAAAUGCUUUGACAUCUCACUCCUUCUUUCUCUGUCAUCCCAAAGGUCUGGCAGGAGACUUUAUCCAUAUACUUUGUAGAAGUCAGGGACCCCUGUAUCUGUUAUUUCCUUAGUAACCCUGCUAACAAAAGGUAAUAAGACAAGUGUGUCAUGGCUUCCCGGGGAACCAGGCUGGGUUGUGAUGGUCUAAUUCAUGAUCUGCAACAGAGCUUUGCCAGAGACAGACGUGAAGUUAAGUGGUCCUCUUAUUAACAAUUCUGUUUACAUAUUGUUUCUUUUUCCUUGACUCUGCUUCCUUCACUAGACUGAACUCCUUGAAUCCCCGAGUGUUCAGUCUGGUGCCUGGAGCAGAAUGGGUACUGAGGGGAUGCUAGCUGC